GUUUACAAGGUUUAGAGAUAUGAACUGGGUUCAACGUAAGAUCUAUCUCUACAAUGUCACUUUCGGACUCUACAUGUUGGAUUGGUGAGAACGUUGCCUUUUCAGUAUCCUUUUCCACUUCAUUUUUAUGUAAAGAUAGAUAAUUACCUAAUAUGUACAAGUUCUGGUAUAGAAUUUUCGGCCUUUGUACACUGUAAGGGCUUCUAAUAUUUUGUUUUGAUGACUUAAUCAUUAUUCAUCUUCUACAUAAAAAAUGAUGAAAAUAGUUAUUUUGUGGAAGCCUGGCAAAAUUAUGCUGAUAUUGUUAUAUAAGGAGUUAUUUUCUGUUUUCUAGUAUUCUAUGAUAUUACCAGUUUUAGUAUUUGGUCUGUUGUCAUAUUUUACAAAUGUUUGACUUUGGAAUUGAGAUAAUCGGCUUUCUUAUCUGUGUGUUUAGAAUAGUCAAAGGGUCCUAUUGGCUUCUUUGUUCACCACAACCGUUUUUAAGUCUAUGUAGCAUUGUAAUGUCUCAACUGGUAGUUCCUAAACCAUGGAAGACACGUUGGUGAUUGUGUUGAUGUUUUUCUUCUUCUACAACAGCUCACGAUAUAUAUGUAACUGAGUUCUGCAAAAGAGGGGACCGCCUCCACCAGCCCCCUUGGUUCAUCCAUGCUUAAUGGUAGCUUGGUCGGGACUACUACAACUAUACUUGUUUCUUUUCUGUAAAUUUCAGUCAUCUAUAAUAGGGUUGGGAGGUGGCAUCGGCCUGACAGAUUGCAAUGAUGAUGGUAUUAUGAAAAACUUUUGAAUUAUUCAGAAGAAAACCUUGCUUAUUUAUAUGUGGAUUUACAUACAACUUUUUUAGUAUGGAGUAAACUGGUGCAUGUCUCACAUGUAUUGUUAGACCAUUUUCAAAGCCAUUACUUGCAAAAAUUUUAAAACAUUGGCGCUGUUGUAACUAUU